CGGCAUGCCUUACACAUAGCAAGUCGAACGGCAGCAUGGAAGAGCUUGCUCUUCUGAUGGCGAGUGGCGAACGGGUGAGUAAAGCAUCGGAACGUACCGUGGUAUGGGGGGAUAACGUAGCGAAAGUUACGCUAAUACCGCAUACGCACUGAGGUGGAAAGCAGGGGAUCGCAAGACCUUGCGCUAUACGAGCGGCCGAUGUCAGAUUAGCUAGUUGGUAGGGUAAAGGCCUACCAAGGCGACGAUCUGUAGCGGGUCUGAGAGGAUGAUCCGCCACACUGGGACUGAGACACGGCCCAGACUCCUACGGGAGGCAGCAGUGGGGAAUUUUGGACAAUGGGCGAAAGCCUGAUCCAGCCAUGCCGCGUGUGUGAAGAAGGUCUUCGGAUUGUAAAGCACUUUAAGUUGGGAGGAAGGGCAGUAACCUAAUACGUUAUUGUUUUGACGUUACCGACAGAAUAAGCACCGGCUAACUUCGUG
rnacentral:rRNA from 1 species